UUCAUACGCCUCUGACUCCUACCUGUGAUAUCGGACCUGCUCAACUACGUUUUUCAUCUUCUGCCCCGUGACUCCGGACAAUCAGCGAGUGUGCUCUGGAACCCACCCUGCCAUCUCAAUGCCACGGGGCAAGUCUUUUAUCGUUCUGAGGCAGCCAAGCGGCGUCUGGCAGAUCGGCGACAGGUUGACGUGGAACCACAGUAGCCUGCCAAUACCAGUUACACAGCACGGCACCGGGCAGCGCCAUGCUGUGUGACGUUGGACGCUUGUGCUGCCGUGCGAAUCCUCUGACAAGAAGGCAAAAAGUCGCCGUAUGCAUUACAUACAGAAGCUGAAAGCACACCAUGAUAUUUGUGAGAAGCGCUAUGAGGCAGCGCAGGCAGGAGAGGAAGAGGAGAGGAAGAGGAGCGUGGUUCUCCAUCAUCAGAAGGAUACAGCAGUGAGUCAUGCUACACACUUGAGACAGAGGAUGUUGGUAUGAUGCCAUGUGAAGCCCUUUGAGACCAACUGUUUGAUGCUUGGCUCAGACAGGAGAAGAUUGGAGUUGUUUGGCCACAAAUGGGACAAACGCCUUCAUUUUUCGUCUUUACCUUCACAAAGUUGAGAGUAAACCUGGGCUCAGGACCCUGCCCUGUGCCAGGCUGCCAGACGACGUUUUGUCCCCGGCUGGAGAGACACAUAAAGAGCCACCGUCAUGAGAUGAGAGCUGCAGGCCUCCAGAGGAUUCUGGAGGCUGCGAAGAGAACUGCAGCUCUCAAGCGUUUGAGGGACCUCAGGGCCA